UACGUAGGGGGCGAGCGUUGUCCGGAAUCAUUGGGCGUAAAGCGCGCGUAGGUGGCCUCGUAAGUCCGCUGUAAAAGUCAAAGGCUCAACCUUUGAAAGCCGGUGGAUACUGCGGGGCUAGAGUACGGAAGAGGCGAGUGGAAUUCCUGGUGUAGCGGUGGAAUGCGCAGAUAUCAGGAGGAACACCAAUAGCGAAGGCAGCUCGCUGGGACGUUACUGACACUGAGGCGCGAAAGCGUGGGGAGCGAACAGG
rnacentral:rRNA from 1 species